rnacentral:lncRNA from 1 species
AAACAUUUAUUAAAAAUGAUAUUGCAACUAUUUGAAUAAAAUAAAAAUAUUCAAUAAAAUGUUCUAAUUUCUUGUAAAACAAUAUUUAUAGAGUCAUCGGUAAAUAAUUUUUGUAAUGUAAAAGCUAAAUAAAUUCAUACGUACUAUAAUACAGAUAACCGGGAUAUGAAAUUUACUUUAUAGUGACUCAUGGGCCCACAAGAAACAAAAGUGCACAAAGGCAGUAAACCUAUAGUUUUUGGAGUAGUAAAGCCGACUAUAA